AGAACGGCAAACCCUUAUUUCCAUGGACCGUGUUAUUCGUACCCGGAGUUUAACACUCUGGGUUACAUGGUCCCACCUCCCCACUCACAUGGGGAGGUCGGCCCCACACAUUUAGGCAUGGGUCCCCGACCUCUCCAUGUGAGAGGUCGGGUGGGACCGUGUAACCCGGAGUGGUACAAAUGGCAAAACCCUAUUUCCAUUCGAACUUUGAUUCUUCAAAGCAGAGCUACAACAGUAGCCGGCUAGCAGCUGUAGCAUGGAGUCGGUGGAUUGGAUUGUGUGCGGCAUGCCGGUGGGCAGUGUGCAAACAAUUGAACAAGGCCUCGACCACGACCAGCUUGUGAGUGGUGAGUUGAAAUUUAAAUAACUUGAAGUUUUGAAACUUGAAAUCUUGAUUUUGAAUACUUGAUUACUUGAAGUCUUGCUUGAAUUUGAAUACUACAAUUUGCAAACCCUUUGGCCUUUGCUGAUUUAUCGAUUUGUGCAAACCCUUUGUUGAUUUGUCAAUUUGCAAUUCAACAAUUAAAAUUGAUUUGUCGAUUCUCUAGACAUUGGUUGCAAUUUGCAAACCCUUUGUUGACUGACUUGAGUGUUGUUUCUUGUUUGAUGCAAGGAAUUGAUGUAUUUUGUGUUAUUAGUUAUUAUUUAUUGAUCGGUCGACAUUCAGUGAAUCAAUGUUUAAUUCAUAUGGAAAAGGAAAAUGGGAUUAUGGAUUUACUACUAAGAAUUGUGAUUUUUUUAUUGAUUCUAAUUGAAAAUUAAAUUAGGGCAUUGCAGAGUAUGAAACAGUUACAGAGUAAGGUUGUAUCAUAUGUUUAUUUAGUAUUUUGGGUUUUAUUGAUCUAUAUUUUCAUAUGUAUAUAAUUUUUACGUUUUAGUGCAUUUGCAUAUACAUUGAAUAAUUUUUAAUAUUAUUUAAUCAAAUUUUAAUAAACGAUCGGGCUAUUAUGAUUAUAUUGUUGAUUGUCGACAGUCAACAGUCAAAGUCAACAUCCACCCUAGCUGAACGUGGAUCCUGGAUUCACACCUGAUUGAGGGUCUUGAAUUUCAAAACACCUUUAUAUCUUAAACAUCUAUAUCCAACACCCAAACUAUUUUGUCCUCUUCCACCUAAGGUUUUUAGUUGUCCUACGUUCAUCCAUAUGCAUUGUCAUAAUAGAGGAAAGAUGGAUCCAAGAGCUCUUAGACGUGUCUUACAAGGUUAUUCACCUACCAAAAAGGUAACAGGUAUUAUCACCCUCCAAACAAAAUACUUUUUUGUAUGUAAGUAAUACCUUUUUCAAGAACAACUCUUUUUUCACCAAAAACUUCUCUACAAGAGGAAAAUGAAAAGCACAAAGAUCAAAUUUGAAAUGUACUGAUUAUUGUUCAAUCUUCUAGUCACGAGUCUCCAAUAUUCUUUCUGUGCAAUCUUCUUUGGAUCAUGAGUAUUGUGUCAUUUAACUUCCCCAUGAGUCUCAUAUUGUUCAAGCAUAUGAUCAUAACUCUAUUUCUCACUUUUCUCCAUUGGAUCCUAUCAUUCCAUUUGAGUGUGUACAAAAUAGAACUAAAUCUCACUGAAGGAAGAACAAGUGAUGACUUUCUCAACAAAUGAGCAAGAAAAAUUUCUAGAAAAUUCCAGGUAAUUCUUCUUCUAUCCUAACAUACCAAGAAAUCUUAAUUUAAUAAAUAUUCUGAUCUUCAUAUUCCGAUUGUUCAUAAGAAAGGUGUUAGGAGUUCUACUUUGCAUUUUAUUUCGAAAUUGUUUCGCGUCAAAUAAUCCCGUUCCUAUAGUGUCUUUAAUGCUAAUCUGUCUUUUUGUAAUUCUCUUCCAAAGUACUCCACAGGAAGCAACGACUAUUCCAAGACGGAAGUGGGUUAUAAAAGAGGCAACAAGGGCGUUGCAAAAGAGUGGUACAUGACAACUAGUUGAUCUUAUGCCCAAAAGGAAAUGGGUGGGAUCUAAAUGGAUGUUUACUCUUAAACACAAAGCUGAUGGGACAGUUGAAAGAUAUAUGGCAAGACUCAUAAGUAAAUGAUUUAUAUAGGCUAGUGAAAUUGCUCCUAGAAUACAUUAGCUCUAGUAGAAAAAAUGAGGGUAAACAUUGCCUAAGCCGUGUGAUUCGAAAUUUAUAAUGUAUUCUCCAUUGAAAGUUAAUAUAGAUGUAGUUUAGUAAUUGGUGCUCCACACUCAUGAUAUUUAUGCCCAAUAAUUCAUAAUUUAUAAUGAGUAUUUUAAAACGUUUUAAUGUGUAUUUUGAUGUUGUGUAUAGAUUGACGAAAUCGAAAGAAAUAGGCAAAAGUUGGCGAAUUGGAUGAAAGGACCAAAUUGUAAGAGAUCCAAAGUCGGGGACUAAAGCGCAAAUAAUCAAAAGUUGUGUCGAACCUCAUGAUGAAGAUCCGAGAGUGUUGGGAGUCAAUUGGAUGAAGAAAGAUGUCAAAGGGAUCAAAUUUAGUCAAAAUAUGGUCACAAAUUAAUUUCCAACUGAAAAGCUAUGCUCCAGAGUUUCAGUCUCACUUUGAUACUAGCAAAGUUGUAGUCCUCUGGGUUAUCUUUCCAACACAUUUUGAAUUACCUCAUUCGGACAUCAGACAAGAAAGUUAUGCUAAAAAUAUUGAAGGAUGCACAAUUUGUCAUUUUAGCCGAACUGGCGCAGAAUAUGGGCGCCGCAACGCCCAUUAUUAUGGAAUUCAGCAGUAUGCCGAGCGCCCAUAUUGGGCGCCGAUGUGCCGGCCAUGCUUGGAAACGCG
rnacentral:lncRNA from 1 species